UACAGAGGUGGCAAGCGUUGUUCGGAAUUACUGGGCGUAAAGGGCGCGUAGGUGGCCUUCUUAGUCAGACGUGAAAUCCCCGGGCUUAACUCGGGAACUGCGUCUGAUACUGGAAGGCUGGAGUUCGGGAGAGGAAUGUGGAAUUCCAGGUGUAGCGGUGAAAUGCGUAGAUAUCUGGAGGAACACCGGUGGCGAAGGCGGCAUUCUGGACCGGUAUUGACGCUGAGGCGCGAAAGCCAGGGGAGCAAACGGG
rnacentral:rRNA from 1 species